UACGAAGGGGGCUAGCGUUGCUCGGAAUCACUGGGCGUAAAGGGCGCGUAGGCGGCUUAUCAAGUCGGGGGUGAAAGCCCGUGGCUCAACCACGGAAUGGCCUUCGAUACUGGUAGGCUUGAGACCGGAAGAGGACAGCGGAACUGCGAGUGUAGAGGUGAAAUUCGUAGAUAGUUCGCAAGAACACCAGUGGCGAAGGCGGCUGUCUGGUCCGGUUCUGACGCUGAGGCGCGAAAGCGUGGGGAGCAAACAGG
rnacentral:rRNA from 1 species